ensembl:lncRNA
UGUGGAAAAGAUGGCAUCAUUCCUGAAGGGAACACAGAGAAUCGGGUGGCACGAAGACAAAAGCCCUCUGGAUUGCUGCAAGAAGUGUCCUCAGAUCCAAGCUCUAUGUCCCCGGAAACUGACCUGUGGACUGCUUCAUGUGGGCUCAUUUGCCCUCUGCUUCUGGCUGGUUUGGCAAUGGAGACAGAGAGAGAUGAGAAGGUGGGCGGAGAGAAAGGUUGGUGUGUGUUCAUUCCUCCAACCCCCGCCUUGUCUCUUCCACAGCUCCAGCCUCAGGCUGGUCCUUUGACCAUGCUUCAUUGAUUCCUGAAACCUGCUGCCACCUGUGUAAAUAGUAUCUGCAGUAAAUAACUCUUCAGUUAAACUCUUCUCUGCACUGUGUAUGCCCUGCCCAGACCCAACUGUUACAAUACUGAAUGCUCAUAUAAAUCUUAUAUAAAUGCUUACUUACUCUUAACUCUGACCCUCUUAUAAAUGCUAUAUGUAUAGUUAACAUUUGCAAUAAGCCUAUGAGGUAGAUGCUGUUAC